rnacentral:rRNA from 1 species
GUAUUCCGCUCCAUAGCGUAUAUUAAAGUUGUUGCAGUUAAAAAGCUCGUAGUUGAACUUCGGGGUCUACCCAUUGGUCAGGCUUAAUUGUCUGCACUGGUGAGAUGGAUCUCUACCUUCUGAGGAACUUUCAUGCCAUUUAUUUGGUGUGAUGGGAAAUCAGGACUGUUACUUUGAAAAAAUUAGAGUGUUUAAAGCAGACUAUCGUCUGAAUACAUUAGCAUGGAAUAAUGAAAUAGGACGGACUGAUUCUAUUUCGUUGGUUUCUAGGAUCACCGUAAUGAUUAAUAGGGAUAGUUGGGGGCAUUAGUAUUCAAUUGUCAGAGGUGAAAUUCUUGGAUUUAUUGAAGACUAACUACUGCGAAAGCAUUUGCCAAGGAUGUUUUCAUUAAUCAAGAACGAAAGUUAGGGGAUCGAAGACGAUCAGAUACCGUCGUAGUCUUAACCAUAAACUAUGCCGACUAGGGAUCGGACGAAGUUAAUUUUAUAAUGACGCGUUCGGCACCUUACGGGAAACA